UAUGUUUGGAACUUAGAAGUUCUUGAUGUUCUGAGAAUAUUCAGCAAUGUUUGAACACGAUGUUCAAACAAGCCGCCACUGAGCCAUGGAUGGCGAAUUGGCGGCGGUUUCGUGCGAUUGGUUGGGGAAUUGGCGGCGGUUGCGUACGAUAUCGAUACAUGUAACAGAACAUCUAGUACUUCUUAGUUUCAAUACAU
rfam:Clostridium sp. CAG:127 genomic scaffold, scf187